AAGUCGAACGAUGAUAGAAGAGCUUGCUUUUCUUGAUUAGUGGCGCACGGGUGAGUAAUGCAUAGAUAAUGUGCCCCUUAGUUCGGGAUAGCCACUGGAAACGGUGAUUAAUACCGGAUACUCCUUCUUGUUAUAAGACAAGUCGGGAAAGUUUUUCGCUAAGGGAUCAGUCUAUGUUCCAUCAGCUUGUUGGUGAGGUAAUGGCUCACCAAGGCUAUGACGGAUAUCUGGUUUGAGAGGAUGAUCAGACACACUGGAACUGAGACACGGUCCAGACUCCUACGGGAGGCAGCAGUGAGGAAUAUCGCACAAUGGAGGAAACUCUGAUGCAGCAACGCCGCGUGGAGGAUGACGCAUUUCGGUGUGUAAACUCCUUUUAUUAGGGAAGAUAAUGACGGUACCUAAUGAAUAAGCACCGGCUAACUCCGUGCCAGCAGCCGCGGUAAUACGGAGGGUGCAAGCGUUACUCGGAAUCACUGGGCGUAAAGGGUGCGUAGGCUGGCUUUUAAGUCAGAUGUGAAAUCCAAUGGCUCAACCAUUGAACUGCAUUUGAAACUGAAAGCCUAGAGUUCAGAAGGGGCAGAUGGAAUUAGUGGUGUAGGGGUAAAAUCCGUAGAUAUCACUAGGAAUAUCAAAAGCGAAGGCGAUCUGCUGGGAUGAUACUGACGCU
rnacentral:rRNA from 1 species